rnacentral:lncRNA from 12 species
AGACCAGCGCCCCUGUGGGCCCAGUGCACCUGUAGGCCCAGACCAGCGCCCCUGUGGACCCAGACCAGUGCCCCUGUGGGCCCAGUGCACCUAUAGGCCCAGACCAGCGCCUAUGUGGGCCCAGACCAGCGCCCCUAUAGGCCCAGACCGGCGCCCUGUGAGCCCAAACCAGCGCCCCUGUGGGCCCAGACCAGUGCACGGAACAAGAUAAUCCAUGGGAGAAGUGCCAGCAGUUCCUCCCUAGUUGUGAUUCAGAAUCGCUCAACUGCUUGAAUUAUUCUGUCAAUACGACUCAUCCUAUUCAUCUCUUUGAAUGCCAUCAUGGAUCACACAGCAAGCAGUGGAGUUAAAAAGAUAUUCGAAAUGCCUUGGGCUGCUACUAGAAAUAAGAAAUAACACUGACCUGAAUACUGUAUAGAAAAAAGAAAUAAUGUGACUUCUCUACACACCAGCUGGUUGCGAAGAAAGCUCAAACACCAGACUGAUUCAAAGCUGGAUCCCUGGCUAUCCUGGCCCCUGGUUGGCCCCAACACAUCCGAUCUCUAUCCCGUGUGGCUGGGCUUGGCCUCGAACAGACCCUCUCCUGGCCAGCUGGGUCAUGCUCCGAGAAACCAUACUCUACACGGUUGUGUCCCUGGGACUUCAGGGCUCCUCGAUUUCAUUUGCUACACAGGGGGCCUCGGUCAAUAUUGGAGGAUUGCCUUCUCUACUCCAGGAAGAGCGGAAACUGAUAGGGAAUUACAUCUUAUUAAUAUUAUUUCAGGAAAAAAAUUCUCUCUGAUAAAAUUUCUGUGCAAACCGAAAAUAAAGUUAU